UAUUAUUCUUAGAUGAAUUUGUUUCUAGGUUAGUAGUAGAUAUUUACUUAAAAGCUAAAAAAUUUGGCGGUAAUUUAAUCUUUCCAGAGGAACUUGUUUUUUAAUCGAUAAACCUCGCAAUAUCUUGCUUAUCUUAGUAGAGUUUGUAUACCGUCAUUAUCAGGUAAUUUUUAAAAAGUAAAUUUCUAAGUAUGAAUAUUUAUAUAAAUUAGAUCAUGGUGCAGCUUAUAGGUAAGUUAAAAUGAGUUACAAUAAAUUAUUUUAUACGGAUAGUUAAAGAAUAUAAACUAGAAGGAGGAUUUGGUAGUAUUUAGAAUUUAAUAAGUUCUAAAGAUGAUAGCUCUAAAUUAUGUACAUAU
rnacentral:rRNA from 1 species